rnacentral:tRNA from 1 species
AGUUAAUGAGCUUGAAAUAAGCAUAUAUUUUGAAAAUAUAAAAUAAGGUAUAAAUCCUUAUUAACUU